rnacentral:rRNA from 1 species
UACGGAAGGCAGCAGUGGGGAAUAUUGGACAAUGGGCGCAAGCCUGAUCCAGCCAUGCCGCGUGUGUGAAGAAGGCCUUCGGGUUGUAAAGCACUUUUGUCCGGAAAGAAAAGCUUAGGGUUAAUAACCUUGAGUCAUGACGGUACCGGAAGAAUAAGCACCGGCUAACUUCGUGCCAGCAGCCGCGGUAAUACGAAGGGUGCAAGCGUUACUCGGAAUUACUGGGCGUAAAGCGUGCGUAGGUGGUUUGUUAAAGUCUGAUGUGAAAGCCCUGGGCUCAACCUGGGAAUGGCAUUGGAAACUGGCUUACUAGAGUGCGGUAGAGGGGUGUGGAAUUCCCGGUGUAGCAGUGAAAUGCGUAGAUAUCGGGAGGACAUCUGUGGCGAAGGCGACACCCGGACCAGCACUGACACUGAGGCACGAAAGCGUGGGGAGCAAACGAGGGAUUAGAUA